UAAAAAUCCAGUCAUUUAGUGAUUCGUUUGCUGAUUCUUUUGAAUCUUUCACCUAUUGUGGUAUCUAAUAAAUACAACCAAUAGUGGAUUGGUUCUCCUCCUGCUGGUCUCCUCGUGGCUUGGUUCUCCUCCUGCUGGUCUCAUCAUGUUAUGUAUGCCCCAGGCUAGGUGAGGGUUGGACUGCCUUGAAGUCCCCUUCCCCGAGCUUGGAGAGCGGUAAAAAGUUCCAAUUCAGCACCUAUCCAUAUUCCUGGAAGUGGAGAUUAUUCCCGGAGCUCUGAGCAGAG